ACACCUCAACUCAUUGUGGUUUUCCACGAUGAGCUUGGACUUUGGGGGUUUUGCUGGCCUACAGUCAGCUCCUCUAAAAUGAAUCAGCUUACCAGUGUUUGGUGGGUAUCAUGGGUGUGAUAACUAUCUACGCUUGUGGUUUCCCGCCAGGUAACCUUCAGCAAUGGAGAUUCGCUGGGGCUCAUAAAAGUCUCUCCUCGGUGAGGACAGCUUUUUGAAC
rnacentral:misc_RNA from 1 species